UACAGAGGUCCCAAGCGUUGUUCGGAUUCACUGGGCGUAAAGGGUGCGUAGGUGGUGAGGUAAGUCGGAUGUGAAAGCUCGGAGCUCAACUCCGAAAUGGCAUUGGAAACUACCUCGCUAGAGGAUCGGAGGGGAGACUGGAAUUCUCGGUGUAGCAGUGAAAUGCGUGAGAUAUCGAGAGGAACACCAGUGGCGAAGGCGAGUCUCUGGACGAUUCCUGACGCUGAGGCACGAAAGCCAGGGGAGCAAACGGG
rnacentral:rRNA from 1 species